AGCGUUGUUCGGAAUUACUGGGCGUAGAGCGCACGUAGGCGGUUAUUCAAGUCAGAGGUGAAAGCCCGGAGCUCAACUCCGGAAUAGCCUUUGAAACUAGAUAACUUGAAUCACGGAGAGGUGGGUGGAACUCCGAGUGUAG
rnacentral:rRNA from 1 species